rnacentral:rRNA from 1 species
CUGUAAGCCUGUGAAGGUGGCCUGUGAGGGUUGCUGGAGGUAUCAGAAGUGCGAAUGCUGACAUAAGUAACGAUAAAGCGGGUGAAAAGCCCGCUCGCCGGAAGACCAAGGGUUCCUGUCCAACGUUAAUCGGGGCAGGGUGAGUCGACCCCUAAGGCGAGGCCGAAAGGCGUAGUCGAUGGGAAACGGGUUAAUAUUCCCGUACUUGGUGUUACUGCGAAGGGGGGACGGAGAAGGCUAUGUUGGCCGGGCGACGGUU